rnacentral:tRNA from 1 species
UGGGCCUAUAGCUCAGCUGGUUAGAGCGCACGCCUGAUAAGCGUGAGGUCGAUGGUUCAAGUCCAUUUAGGCCCAUCCA